GACGAACGCUGGCGGCGUGCCUAAUACAUGCAAGUAGAACGCUGAAGGAGGAGCUUGCUCUUCUGGAUGAGUUGCGAACGGGUGAGUAACGCGUAGGUAACCUGCCUGGUAGCGGGGGAUAACUAUUGGAAACGAUAGCUAAUACCGCAUAACAGUAGAUGUUGCAUGACAUUUACUUAAAAGGUGCAAUUGCAUCACUACCAGAUGGACCUGCGUUGUAUUAGCUAGUUGGUGGGGUAACGGCUCACCAAGGCGACGAUACAUAGCCGACCUGGGAGGGUGAUCGGCCACACUGGGACUGGGACACGGCCCAGACUCCUACGGGAGGCAGCAGUAGGGAAUCUUCGGCAAUGGACGGAAGUCUGACCGAGCAACGCCGCGUGAGUGAAGAAGGUUUUCGGAUCGUAAAGCUCUGUUGUAAGAGAAGAACGAGUGUGAGAGUGGAAAGUUCACACUGUGACGGUAUCUUACCAGAAAGGGACGGCUAACUACGUG
rnacentral:rRNA from 1 species